UGACCACGGCAGAAUUUGAACUCAGAACUACUGUUUUAGAAGAAAUACCAAGCACUUUGACGGAUGCACUAAAGCUUCUGUCAGUUUACUUCCUGAAUACUAAUAAUAAUAAUAAUGAUGAUACGAAGGUUGUGGUCAAUGAAGAGAGAUGUGAUACCAAUAGUAAUUGGUGCACUUGGAAGUAUCAGCACUCAAUUAUCAACAUGGCCGCAGAAGAUCCGGUGCAAGUGUGAAGGUAGAACACCUACAAAAAUCAAGCAUUGCUUGGAACUGCAAGAAUUCUUCGCAGGGUUCUUGAAGCAUGACCAGUAAACAAGUGUCACCUUAGUCUGCUGGCCGUGGACAGCUGACACUUUCCAUCAUACCCAGCAAUAUAAGGUAUGAGUUUUAAAACAAUAAUGCUUGAAAAAAAAAGAGUGUUUCAAAUAAGGAAGAGCGGGGGGUGGGGGGGGAGAGAAAGAGA